rnacentral:rRNA from 1 species
AUUGAACGCUGGCGGAAUGCUUUACACAUGCAAGUCGAACGGCAGCACGGGGCAACCUGGUGGCGAGUGGCGAACGGGUGAGUAAUACAUCGGAACGUGCCCAAUCGUGGGGGAUAACGUAGCGAAAGUUACGCUAAUACCGCAUACGAUCUACGGAUGAAAGCGGGGGAUCGCAAGACCUCGCGCGAAUGGAGCGGCCGAUGUCAGAUUAGGUAGUUGGUGGGGUAAAGGCUCACCAAGCCAACGAUCUGUAGCUGGUCUGAGAGGACGACCAGCCACACUGGAACUGAGACACGGUCCAGACUCCUACGGGAGCAGCAGCAGGGAAUCUUGGGCAAUGGGCGAAAGCCUGACCCAGCGACGCCGCGUGGAGGAAGAAGUCCUUCGGGGCGUAAACGUCCUGGACUGGGGACGAGGAAGGACGGUACCCGACGUAGAAAGGGACGGCGUAACUAACGUGCCCAGCGACGCCGCGGUAAGACGUAACUCUAU